rnacentral:rRNA from 1 species
UACAGGGGGGGCAAGCGUUGUUCGGAAUUACUGGGCGUAAAGGGCUCGUAGGCGGCCAACUAAGUCAGACGUGAAAUCCCUCGGCUUAACCGGGGAACUGCAUCUGAUACUGGAUGGCUUGAAUCCGGGAGAGGGAUGUGGAAUUCCAGGUGUAGCGGUGAAAUGCGUAGAUAUCUGGAGGAACACCGGUGGCGAAGGCGGCAUCCUGGACCGGUAUUGACGCUGAGGCGCGAAAGCCAGGGGAGCAAACGGG